AGCUGUUAGCAUCUGUUUUCCUAAAUCUCUUUACACCUUCUCCUCUCUCUAUCUCCCUGUCUAUAACUUGUCCUCCUUGCUAUUUCGUUCCCGUAUUGCAAGCUGUAAUCGAAUGAGAGGGUUUUUGGACUCAUCUCUUUGCUCAUAGCUCGCGCUCUCAUUAACCCAUAUGACAUUGUUUUAGUUUCUCCAUCUCAUCACUCUCUUCGGAAGAUUAGAUCUCCUCUCGUUUUAAGUUGUGUCCCUAUGUCACCGUGAUUUAAACACGCCUCGCCUUUGUUGCUUCUGCUUCUUCCUCCACGCGUCUAUUUUUUCCUGCCAUUUUUAUUUGUUCUUUCCCCCUUCCAUUUUUAUCUGUUUCUUCUGACAAUGAUAUCGAAGUUAUAGCCUUUUCGGCCUCGAAAGAAAGGAGGUGUCAAAUAAAAAGAAAAAGAAAACAAAGGAAACGAAGAAGAGUUUUUGGGUUAAUAUUUGAUUGAUUAUUUUGUUGCUUUUCAUUCGCUUUCUUUUGUUUGCGAGUCUGGUUUAUUUUUUAUAGAUCAGACCCAAAAUACCAAAUUUAACGGCAAUGGCACCUUCGUUCGAUUGGUGGGCUAAGGAGGGCCAUAGAGGCACGCCCGUCGUGGUCAAAAUGGAGAACCCCAACUGGUCAAUGGUCGAGCUUGAGGGUCCAGCUGACGAAGAUUUCCUCAUCGGCGACUCGCCGGCUCGUUCCCGAGACAAGUUUCGUAACAAGAACGCGAAGCAGCUCACCUGGGUUCUUCUUCUCAAAGCCCAUAAGGCCGCUGGUUGUUUAACCUCCAUUGCCUCAGCAAUGGUCUCCCUUGGCUCCCUCAUAAAGCGACGUCUACGCUCUGGUCGCACUGACACCGACGCCGACGUAGAAAUCGACUUGGACGCCGGCCGGGAAAAUGAGAACAUAACAGUCAAAAGCCGGUUCUACUCCUGCAUCAAGGUCUUUCUAUGGCUCUCUGUUUUGCUUUUAGGGUUCGAGAUGGCUGCCUAUUUCAAGGGCUGGCAUUUUGGUUCUCCUCACCUCCAAUUACAGUACCUAUUAGCUAGUUCCUUUGGGUUUAAGGACAUUUUCGAUUCCUUGUAUUCUCGAUGGGUUUUGAUUCGCGUGGAGUAUCUCGCUCCUCCCUUGCAAUUCCUCGCCAAUGUAUGUAUUGUGCUCUUCCUUAUUCAGAGUCUGGACAGGCUUGUUCUCUGCUUGGGCUGUUUCUGGAUCCGAUUCAAGAAGAUAAAACCCAUUCUCAAACAAGACGCAAUUGCCGACCUUGAAUCCGGCGAAAAUGGCUUCUUCCCGAUGGUCCUUGUCCAAAUCCCCAUGUGCAACGAGAAAGAGGUUUAUCAACAAUCAAUUGCUGCUGUAUGUAAUUUGGACUGGCCUAAAUCGAAGCUUCUAAUUCAAGUUCUAGACGAUUCUGAUGAUCCAACGACUCAAUUGUUGAUCAAGGAAGAGGUUAACAAAUGGCAGCAAGAGGGUGCCCACAUUGUGUAUAGGCAUCGAGUAGUCAGAGAAGGGUAUAAAGCUGGUAAUCUCAAGUCUGCAAUGAAUUGCAGCUAUGUCAAAGACUAUGAAUUUGUUGCUAUUUUCGAUGCUGAUUUCCAGCCCACACCCGACUUCCUUAAAAAAACAGUACCUCACUUUAAGGAUAAUGAAGAGCUUGGGCUUGUUCAAGCAAGAUGGUCGUUUGUGAACAAGGAUGAGAACUUGUUAACAAGAUUGCAGAAUAUUAAUUUAGCAUUUCAUUUUGAAGUAGAGCAACAGGUGAAUGGGGUUUUCAUUAACUUUUUUGGGUUCAAUGGGACCGCUGGAGUAUGGAGGAUUAAGGCUCUGGAGGAUGCUGGUGGGUGGCUAGAGAGAACUACCGUUGAGGAUAUGGAUAUUGCUGUCCGUGCUCAUCUUCAUGGCUGGAAAUUUAUUUUCCUAAAUGAUGUUGAGUGCCAGUGUGAGUUGCCAGAAUCAUACGAGGCAUAUAGAAAGCAGCAGCACAGAUGGCAUUCUGGUCCAAUGCAGUUGUUUAGGCUCUGUUUGCCGGAUAUUAUACGAGCAAAGAUUAGCAUAUCGAAGAAGUUCAAUAUGAUCUUUCUCUUCUUUCUUCUUAGAAAGCUGAUCUUACCUUUUUAUUCUUUCACCCUAUUUUGCAUAAUUUUGCCAAUGACAAUGUUCAUACCAGAGGCUGAGCUGCCGGCAUGGGUUGUCUGUUACAUUCCAGCCACUAUGUCAUUUCUCAAUAUUCUCCCAGCACCAAAAUCCUUCCCCUUCAUUGUUCCUUACCUUCUAUUUGAGAACACUAUGUCAGUAACCAAGUUCAAUGCCAUGAUCUCUGGUCUAUUCCAGCUUGGAAGUGCCUAUGAAUGGGUUGUGACUAAGAAGUCUGGUCGCUCUUCUGAGGGUGAUCUUGUCUCCUUGGCUCAAAAAGAACCAAAUAAUCAAAGGGUGGCGUCAGUACCAAAUCUUGCAGAAAUGAAAGAAGAACUUCUACAGGAGAAAAAGGGUCCAAAAAGAAAGCACAAUAGGAUAUAUAGAAAGGAGCUGGCACUGGCUUUUCUGCUUUUAACAGCUUCAGCGAGGAGUCUCCUGUCUGCUCAGGGGAUCCAUUUCUACUUCUUGCUGUUUCAAGGAAUAUCAUUCUUGCUGGUUGGUCUUGAUUUGAUUGGGGAGCAGGUUCAGUGAAAGGAUAUAUGAUGGAUUUGUAAGGGUUAUAGCUGAUAUAGAUGAAGGGAACACCGAAAAUGAAUGUGAUUGAACAGGAAGUUACAUGGGGAGAUCAUUAGUGGGCUGCGAGUGCUUCCUUUUCUUGAUUGGCCUCCACCCUCAGAACAAACACGAUUCUGCCCAAAUGUGAGAAGAAAUUUGAAUUAAAAGUGGACAGAAGAAUGACUGCAGUUGGGACAGAGGAAGAUUACAUAAUAUCAAUGCUCUUGAUUAUAUGAAUGUUGAAAAGAAGCAAAUGUCUCAGCUAUAAUGCCAACUACCAAAUAUGAGUUCCUGUUUCUUUCAAGAUUCUCUAGCUACUUUAUGGCCAUUUAUUAUAGGAUUGUUGAUUGAUUACGUGGUGGCCAUUUUAGUUGAUAAUCACAAGACCCGAAAAAGUUUUAGAGUAACGAGUUAACCUCGGUGUCUGGUCACAGGAAAAAUUAUACAGUGAAGCAGAUAUAUCAUAUAGGAUUAUAUGAUAUCAUUGAUUACUAUCCUUCAUGGUAUCACUUUCAGUUUUAUGCGUAAAAGGUAACGAUUCCUCCAACUACUUUUCCUGAAAACAUGUUGAAGUUAAUGGGUAUAGAGUAGAAGGUAGGUAGUGGACAAUUUUUAAAGUAUUGGCAUUAGAACAAAGCUUAAGUGAAGAUUGUUUAGGUGGAAACAGUUGAGUGUUGGUUUGGGAGCCCACAGAAAAUGUGUGAAAGUGUAUUUGGAUGCACAUGGGCAUGGGAGUAGGCUGUUGUUAUGCCGUAUUUAUGGUUGGGAAGCAGCUGGACCACGCCAUCGAUGGGGACUCCUCAAACCCAGUGCAAGGAACCGUGAAUAAGAGUAAAUGGGAUUUAUGACACUGAUAAAUUCAUUCAUUCACCAUCUAUGAAAUUCACUGUAAAUCUGUAUUGAAACAUUAAACUUAAGAUGUGAUUUUGUGUUUAUGUGUAUAUAAUGGGCGAUGGUCAAAGACAAAAUCCAACCAAUUGAAUGUUGGAGUAAUGGUCCACCAAAACAAGUGGAAAUUUUAUUUUUUGUGUGUUGGUGUGGGGUUGUUUAGAACAGCUGGUAAUGUAUUGGAGACCCAUACAUGUCAUUUCAAAAUAAAACUUUAUGCAAUAAAUCCAGCUCACCCUUCACCUGC